UUAAGCGUGUAGGCUGGUUUUCCAGGCAAAUCCGGAAAAUCAAGGCUGAGGCGUGAUGACGAGGCACUACGGUGCUGAAGCAACAAAUGCCCUGCUUCCAGGAAAAGCCUCUAAGCAUCAGGUAACAUCAAAUCGUACCCCAAACCGACACAGGUGGUCAGGUAGAGAAUACCAAGGCGCUUGAGAGAACUCGGGUGAAGGAACUAGGCAAAAUGGUGCCGUAACUUCGGGAGAAGGCACGCUGAUAUGUAGGUGAAGUCCCUCGCGGAUGGAGCUGAAAUCAGUCGAAGAUACCAGCUGGCUGCAACUGUUUAUUAAAAACACAGCACUGUGCAAACACGAAAGUGGACGUAUACGGUGUGACGCCUGCCCGGUGCCGGAAGGUUAAUUGAUGGGGUCAGCGCAAGCGAAGCUCUUGAUCGAAGCCCCGGUAAACGGCGGCCGUAACUAUAACGGUCCUAAGGUAGCGAAAUUCCUUGUCGGGUAAGUUCCGACCUGCACGAAUGGCGUAAUGAUGGCCAGGCUGUCUCCACCCGAGACUCAGUGAAAUUGAACUCGCUGUGAAGAUGCAGUGUACCCGCGGCAAGACGGAAAGACCCCGUGAACCUUUACUAUAGCUUGACACUGAACAUUGAGCCUUGAUGUGUAGGAUAGGUGGGAGGCUUAGAAGUGUGGACGCCAGUCUGCAUGGAGCCGACCUUGAAAUACCACCCUUUAAUGUUUGAUGUUCUAACGUUGACCCGUAAUCCGGGUUGCGGACAGUGUCUGGUGGGUAGUUUGACUGGGGCGGUCUCCUCCUAAAGAGUAACGGAGGAGCACGAAGGUUGGCUAAUCCUGGUCGGACAUCAGGAGGUUAGUGCAAUGGCAUAAGCCAGCUUGACUGCGAGCGUGACGGCGCGAGCAGGUGCGAAAGCAGGUCAUAGUGAUCCGGUGGUUCUGAAUGGAAGGGCCAUCGCUCAACGGAUAAAAGGUACUCCGGGGAUAACAGGCUGAUACCGCCCAAGAGUUCAUAUCGACGGCGGUGUUUGGCACCUCGAUGUCGGCUCAUCACAUCCUGGGGCUGAAGUAGGUCCCAAGGGUAUGGCUGUUCGCCAUUUAAAGUGGUACGCGAGCUGGGUUUAGAACGUCGUGAGACAGUUCGGUCCCUAUCUGCCGUGGGCGCUGGAGAACUGAGGGGGGCUGCUCCUAGUACGAGAGGACCGGAGUGGACGCAUCACUGGUGUUCGGGUUGUCAUGCCAAUGGCACUGCCCGGUAGCUAAAUGCGGAAGAGAUAAGUGCUGAAAGCAUCUAAGCACGAAACUUGCCCCGAGAUGAGUUCUCCCUGACUCCUUGAGAGUCCUGAAGGAACGUUGAAGACGACGACGUUGAUAGGCCGGGUGUGUAAGCGCAGCGAUGCGUUGAGCUAACCGGUACUAAUGAACCGUGAGG
rnacentral:rRNA from 1 species